GACGAACGCUGGCGGCGUGCUUAACACAUGCAAGUCGUACGGUAAGGCCCUUUCGGGGGUACACGAGUGGCGAACGGGUGAGUAACACGUGAGUAACCUGCCCACAACUUUGGGAUAACGCUAGGAAACUGGUGCUAAUACUGGAUAUGUGCUCCUGCUGCAUGGUGGGGGUUGGAAAGCUCCGGCGGUUGUGGAUGGACUCGCGGCCUAUCAGCUUGUUGGUGGGGUAGUGGCCUACCAAGGCGGCGACGGGCAGCCGGCCUGAGAGGGUGACCGGCCACAUUGGGACUGAGAUACGGCCCAGACUCCUACGGGAGGCAGCAGUGGGGAAUAUUGCACAAGGGGCGCAAGCCUGAUGCAGCAACGCCGCGUGCGGGAUGACGGCCUUCGGGUUGUAAACCGCUUUCAGCAGGGACGAAGCUUUUUGUGACGGUACCUGCAGAAGAAGCACCGGCUAACUACGUG
rnacentral:rRNA from 1 species